GGGGGUGCGUGGCUUCGAUUUCGAGGAUCGAAGCGGGUGAAGCGAGCCGACGUCUCCGGAUCGUCGUUAAAGAGCCGGAAACAGCAAUACCUGACGAGGACAACCUCGCACUCGCUGCUUAGGAUUUCCUGAACAGCGCGUUCCUCCCGGCCCAGCCGUUCGGUCGGAACCGGAACGCCAUCUAGAACGGCUCACCGCCGGGCUUGCCCGGGAUCCGGCGGGACAUCAAACCGGACUGGAGUCCUCAGAGACCGCCGGUGGCCGCUGAGGAACUCGAGAUCAAUCGCCGGCUGCGCUCGGAGAAGCCCCGCCCAAGAGCUCGGAAGACGCGGGUUCGACUCCCGCCACCUCCACCA
rnacentral:tmRNA from 1 species